UCCCUCAUGGUCCAGUAGUUAAGACUCCACACUGCCAAUGCAGUGAGCACAGGUUUGAUCCCUGGUCAGGGAA
rnacentral:tRNA from 1 species